UACGGGGGGGGCAAGCGUUGUUCGGAUUUACUGGGCGUAAAGGGCGCGUAGGCGGCCUUCUCAGUCGGGUGUGAAAGCCCGGGGCUCAACCCCGGAACGGCACCCGAGACGGGAAGGCUGGAGACCGGGAGAGGAGGGUGGAAUAGCCAGUGUAGAGGUGAAAUUCGUAGAUAUUGGCUGGAACACCGGUGGCGAAAGCGGCUCUCUGGCCCGGUUCUGACGCUGAGGCGCGAAAGCGUGGGGAGCAAACAGG
rnacentral:rRNA from 1 species